AGUGGUUUUGGGGCAGAUGACCCAACUUUUGCUCGAGGGUUGGGGCUGAGACAUGGCCUUGCCAAUCAGAGCCCUGAAUUCCCUAUGGUCACCAUGAUUGGCUUGGGGAUGGGCCUCGGACCCAAUCACAGCCAACCAACUUUCACCCUGGAACUUCUGCUUGUAGUGACAGGGAGAAAUGACUCACUCUCUUUUCUGCUAGACCAGAGGUGGGGUGAAUGAGAGCUUGGAGCUCCCAGGCACCAUCAGAAUCCCUUGUACUGACAGUGGUCACAUGACCCAGUUCUAGACCAUGAAACAAGGAGAAAUCUGCUGGGAAAGGAAACACAGGGAAAAUAGACAUAGCCAGCAUCACUCUAUCUCCCUCUUCCUACCUUGAAAGAGGAUGUGAUGGCUGGAAUUGCAGCAGCCACAUUAUGACCAUGAGGCAGAGGCCAAAAGAAGUGCAAUGACACAAGUCCUAACAUAAUUGAGCCACUGAAAUAAUGCCAAGAGCUCUCUACCUGUGUUUUUCUUGUAAUAAAAACAAACACCUAUUUGUUUAGGA